rnacentral:rRNA from 1 species
GACGACGACUCCUACGGGAGGCAGCAGUGGGGAAUAUUGCACAAUGGGCGCAAGCCUGAUGCAGCCAUGCCGCGUGUAUGAAGAAGGCCUUCGGGUUGUAAAGUACUUUCAGCAGUGAGGAAGGUGGAUAUGUUAAUAGCAUAUUCAUUUGACGUUAGCUGCAGAAGAAGCACCGGCUAACUCCGUGCCAGCAGCCGCGGUAAUACGGAGGGUGCGAGCGUUAAUCGGAAUUACUGGGCGUAAAGCGCAUGCAGGUGGUUUGUUAAGUCAGAUGUGAAAGCCCGGGGCUCAACCUCGGAAUUGCAUUUGAAACUGGCAAACUAGAGUACUGUAGAGGGGGUAGAAUUUCAGGUGUAGCGGUGAAAUGCGUAGAGAUCUGAAGGAAUACCGGUGGCGAAGGCGGCCCCCUGGACAGAUACUGACACUCAGAUGCGAAAGCGUGGGGAGCAAACAGGAUUAGAUACCCUGGUAG